rnacentral:rRNA from 1 species
UACGGGGGGAGCAAGCGUUGUUCGGAUUUACUGGGCGUAAAGGGCGCGUAGGCGGUCGUGACAAGUCACUUGUGAAAUCUCCGGGCUUAACUCGGAACGGUCAAGUGAUACUGUCGGACUAGAGUACAGAAGGGGCAACUGGAAUUCUCGGUGUAGCGGUGAAAUGCGUAGAUAUCGAGAGGAACACCUGCGGCGAAGGCGGGUUGCUGGGCUGAUACUGACGCUGAGGCGCGACAGCGUGGGAGCAAACAGG